UACGUAGGGGGCGAGCGUUGUCCGGAAUUAUUGGGCGUAAAGAGCUUGUAGGCGGUUUGUCGCGUCUGCUGUGAAAUCUCAAGGCUCAACCUUGAGCUUGCAGUGGGUACGGGCAGACUAGAGUGUGGUAGGGGAGACUGGAAUUCCUGGUGUAGCGGUGAAAUGCGCAGAUAUCAGGAGGAACACCAGUGGCGAAGGCGAGUCCCUGGACAACACCUGACACUGGAGGCAACGAAAGACCUAGGGGAGCAAACAGG
rnacentral:rRNA from 1 species